rnacentral:sRNA from 1 species
UAUAUCAAAAAAAUUAACAUCAUUAUAUAAUAUAUAGAGUUUAAAAAAAUCUCAAAAAAAAUUUCGUCAUAUUUUGUGAUUCGAAAUUUUAAGAAUGAACAUAUAUUAACCAAUUGGCAAAAAAUGUGUGGAUUCAACGUCCCGCAACGACUAAAAUAUUUUGACAAUGAUUCAUAAACAUAUUAUAAAGAAGAUCAACAUUAAUAAAAUAAAUAGUUUUUUUUUUUGUGGACGGGUUUGGCAGGACGUUACUUAGUAACAAUGGUAAACUAUAAAAUAAUUUACAAAUUUUUAUAUAUAUUAAUUUUAGAAAAUGAAUUGUCUUCAUGGUGUACCGCGGGUUAAAAUCUAGUACAUGUACAUUUUACUAACUGAAAAUAUGAGAUUGAUUCUUUAUAUUACACUGAUAAUGAAUGAUUCAAAACUAAAGAUCAGAGUGUAAUAUAGUUUAGCUUAGAAAAUAAUUAAAACAAUUUUAUUAUUUAUU